CAGGAGCGGGGAGCAGUUUGGCUUCCCCCCGACUUCCCCUCCCACCUCGAGGAGGGGUUGAUGGGUGGGGAACAGGCUAGGCGGGUUGGGGGCAUGACUCAGGCUGGAGAUGGGAGGGAGGGAGGAGGGAGGCGGGACUCUUCCCCGUCUCCUCCCCUCCUCUCCCUCUCCCCGCCCCGGGGUGGGGCCCCGAAGGUCCGGGGCUUUCCCGGAUUUCCCUGGGGGCGGGGCAGCCGCUGGGGUUGAGUCCGGGUCACUGAGUCACAGGAGGCGGAGAGGGAGGCUUUGGGGACACAGGGGGCGGGGCAUGGGGGCUGCACCCCGGACUUGCCCAGGGGGCACGCGGCGUCUCUCUGGUUCUCUCCCCCGGUCUCCUUCUGUCUUCGAAACUUGCCUGACCUCCCUCUGGUUGUCUCCUGCCCCGCCCUCUGUCUCUGUCUCCCCAUCUCUGUUGCUGUCUCUGUGUCCCCUGGGACCUUGAAAGUGGGUAUUGGGGCCCCGGGAAGGGACUUUGGCCGGACUCGGGCCCCACCCGAGUGGAUCGUUAACCCAGGAUGUGAGAAGUGGCUGUGUGGAGAGGCCUCACCCCUUCCCUUCCUUUCGACCUCUCUCUGGAUCUCCCUUAUCCCCCUUCAUGGCGAAACAUCCCGAGCACAGACCUGUGUUAAUUCCACCUCCACCCCUUGCUCCCGGUGGGACCUCAGACAAGCCAUCCCCUGCCUUGAGACUCAGUUUGUUCUUCUGGAAAAUGGGACCAAUGGCAACCCCUGCCUGCUGGUGUUGUGGGGGCCACAGCAAGGGAAGAGGGGAGGAAUUCGGUUGGACAGGCUGGGGGCUGUGUUCCCUGCCCAUCCAACCCCACCCCUGGGGACCCUCAGACACAGGAGAGGGGUGUGGAGCACUAUCCCAAUGCACAGAAAGGAAAGCUGAGGUUUGGAGGGGCGAGGCUUAGGGUGGGGACCCUCAGAGGUAGGGUGGGAAGGACACCCAAGCCUGUCCCACUCCUGGCAUCCCAGGGCAGCUGGUGCAGUGGUUCCAACCUAGCAGGACUGUAGAGGGGAGAAGAUGUGAUGGGUCCGGUGGGAGCUUCGAAGGGCUGGGAGAGACGGUGCUGCUGGAAGAGAGGGUGCUGAUGGUUCUCUGAGGUUGGAAGAGGGAUAAAAGGGUCAGAAGGAGGAGGAUCUGAAGAAGGAAGAUAGGUCUGAGAGAGAAGUAGAUGGUUUAGUGGGAGGAGGGGGAGAGGAUCUGAAGGAGGAGGACAGGGUCUGUUGGAGGAGGUAAGGGUCUGAUGGAGGAAAUAAGGGUCUGAGGGUGGAGGCGAGGUUUGGAGGGAGGAGGUGAAGGUCUGAGGGAGGAGACAAGGGUCUGAAGGAGGAGAUAAGAGUCUGAGGAAGGAGGCGAGGGUUUGAGAGAGGAGGUGAGGGUCUGAAGGAGGAGGUGAGGGUCUGAAGGUGGAGGUGAGGUUCGGGGGGAGGAGAUGAGGGGCUAAGGGAGGAGGUGAGGGUCUGAGAGAGGAGACGAGGGUCUGAAGGAGGUGAGGGUUUGAGAGAGGAGGUGAGGGUCUAAAGGAGGAGGUAAGGGUCUGAAGGUGGAGGUGAGGUUUGGAGGGAGGAGGUGAGGGUCUGAGAGGAGGUGAGGGUCUGAGUGAGGAGGUGAGGGUCUGAGGGGAGGGGAGAGUAUCUGAGGGAGAGGGCACAGUCUGAGGAAGUCUGAGAAGCACUAAGUGAGGGGACGCAGCUCUGAGGGAGGAGGAGAGAGUUGGAGGGGAAAGAAGGGUCUGAGGAAAGAAGAUUUGGAGAGAGUCUGAGGGUAGAGGCCAGAUCUGAGGGAGAAGAAAGAGGCUCAGGGGAAAAGAUCUGAGGGUCCGAGGGUGGAAGGCAUGGACUAGGGGAGGAGGAGCUGGUGGGGUGGAGGGGUGGAGAGGCGUGCCUCCGGAGCCAGCAGGGACCAAGGGGAGGGAAGGGAAGGGAGGCUGGGAGGCAGCCCCGCCCUGCAGCUGUCUCUAAUUUCCCAGAAUCUUCUGCUCUCAGGAAAGUCCCAGCUCCCACAGCAGCCUCCCUCCAAUGUCGGGAACGGAGGAUGCGGAACCAGGAUGGCCACCCCCACCCUCCCCCGGCUCCUUGCACCCCAGGCGGAAAGGACUAGGGUCUCCUUUCUCUGGGCCUUGGCCUCUGGAGGGCCCCCACCCGCAGGGGCAGCCCCUGGAUGAGUCUUAGAAACUUCCCAGAGGAGGCCAGGAAGUUCUGCUUGGUGUCUAACCACUUUCCCCUCAUGCAGGCCGCCCUUUGUACCUGUUCAGAUCUCCUCCCCAGCUGCUGUUUCUUUUUCCCCAACCCAUCCUGGGGGAGGAAAGGCCAGGAAUUUACCUGCUCAAAGUCCUGAGAGGGAAACGAAAUUCCAUCUGGAAGUCUGUAGGCUUGAGGCAGCUUUCUUGCUCUCAGGGGCCUCAAUUUCCCUUUCUAAGAGGAGAGAGUAGGGCUGGUCAGGGCCUAAGUUCCCAUCUGGCUCAAUUACUGGGUCUUGUCCUGCUUUUUUUUUGAGACAAGAUCUGGCUCUGUCUCCCAGGCUGAAGUGCAGUGGUGAGAUCAUAGCUCACUGUAGCCUUGAACUCCUGGACUCAAAUGAUCCUCCUGCCUCAACCUCCCAAGUAGGUGGGACUACAGGCAUGUGCCGCAAUGACUGGCUAAUAAAAAAAACAAUUUGUAGACUCAGGGGGUCUCACUGUGUUGCCCAGGGUGUUCUCGAACUCCUGGGCUCAAGCGAACCUCCCUCCUCGGUCUCCCAAAGUGCUGGGAUUACAGGCGUGAGCCACCGCAUCUGGCUU
rnacentral:lncRNA from 1 species